GCCACGCUGGGCGGGUCACUGGGACUCUGCCUCAGUCUCCCUGCUGCCCUUUGUAGGGUGCGGAUGAGGACCGAGUUCGUAUGCAUAAGCACUGAGAGCCUGCCUCUUAGUAGCGGUCUGGAUUGGAGUCCACCAGGCAGCGGCGUUGGGGGUCAGCAGUGUGUGAUCUUAGAACUGGGACCCCUUAGACUAGGAGCCCUACUGAUCGCAUGACUUCAACGUCUCUGAGCGCUACCUGCGUCGCACAUCAGACAGUGACAGUGCCUUUCCCACUUCAGCCUCCUUCAGAGAACAAGAACACCAGGCCAAGCCAUUUGUCUUUUGGGUUUGCUCCGGAAGAGGCAGAGGCCCCAGAACAUUGUGAUAUCCUGGCAGACAUUCAGCCGUGGCCAGUAGUGAGCAGAGAUUCAAUCUUCAUAGACAUGAACAACCCAGGCAGAGCUUCCCCUCUUCUUGAAUCUUUAGCCCCAUGUUCAGAUUCAACCACGAGAUGGUGGAAACCCAGGACAUCAAGGCAGCCAUGACAGUGCAACUAAAGACACUCAUGAAAGAAGACUCCAGAACUGCUUGGAAAGUGGCAAGAAC